rnacentral:rRNA from 1 species
AAAUUGAAGAGUUUGAUCAUGGCUCAGAUUGAACGCUGGCGGCAGGCCUAACACAUGCAAGUCGAGCGGUAGCACAGAGAGCUUGCUCUCGGGUGACGAGCGGCGGACGGGUGAGUAAUGUCUGGGAAACUGCCUGAUGGAGGGGGAUAACUACUGGAAACGGUAGCUAAUACCGCAUAACGUCGCAAGACCAAAGUGGGGGACCUUCGGGCCUCAUGCCAUCAGAUGUGCCCAGAUGGGAUUAGCUAGUAGGUGGGGUAAUGGCUCACCUAGGCGACGAUCCCUAGCUGGUCUGAGAGGAUGACCAGCCACACUGGAACUGAGACACGGUCCAGACUCCUACGGGAGGCAGCAGUGGGGAAUAUUGCACAAUGGGCGCAAGCCUGAUGCAGCCAUGCCGCGUGUGUGAAGAAGGCCUUCGGGUUGUAAAGCACUUUCAGCGGGGAGGAAGGCGAUAAGGUUAAUAACCUUGUCGAUUGACGUUACCCGCAGAAGAAGCACCGGCUAACUCCGUGCCAGCAGCCGCGGUAAUACGGAGGGUGCAAGCGUUAAUCGGAAUUACUGGGCGUAAAGCGCACGCAGGCGGUCUGUCAAGUCGGAUGUGAAAUCCCCGGGCUCAACCUGGGAACUGCAUUCGAAACUGGCAGGCUAGAGUCUUGUAGAGGGGGGUAGAAUUCCAGGUGUAGCGGUGAAAUGCGUAGAGAUCUGGAGGAAUACCGGUGGCGAAGGCGGCCCCCUGGACAAAGACUGACGCUCAGGUGCGAAAGCGUGGGGAGCAAACAGGAUUAGAUACCCUGGUAGUCCACGCCGUAAACGAUGUCGAUUUGGAGGUUGUGCCCUUGAGGCGUGGCUUCCGGAGCUAACGCGUUAAAUCGACCGCCUGGGGAGUACGGCCGCAAGGUUAAAACUCAAAUGAAUUGACGGGGGCCCGCACAAGCGGUGGAGCAUGUGGUUUAAUUCGAUGCAACGCGAAGAACCUUACCUGGUCUUGACAUCCACAGAACUUUCCAGAGAUGGAUUGGUGCCUUCGGGAACUGUGAGACAGGUGCUGCAUGGCUGUCGUCAGCUCGUGUUGUGAAAUGUUGGGUUAAGUCCCGCAACGAGCGCAACCCUUAUCCUUUGUUGCCAGCGGUCCGGCCGGGAACUCAAAGGAGACUGCCAGUGAUAAACUGGAGGAAGGUGGGGAUGACGUCAAGUCAUCAUGGCCCUUACGACCAGGGCUACACACGUGCUACAAUGGCAUAUACAAAGAGAAGCGACCUCGCGAGAGCAAGCGGACCUCAUAAAGUAUGUCGUAGUCCGGAUUGGAGUCUGCAACUCGACUCCAUGAAGUCGGAAUCGCUAGUAAUCGUAGAUCAGAAUGCUACGGUGAAUACGUUCCCGGGCCUUGUACACACCGCCCGUCACACCAUGGGAGUGGGUUGCAAAAGAAGUAGGUAGCUUAACCUUCGGGAGGGCGCUUACCACUUUGUGAUUCAUGACUGGGGUGAAGUCGUAACAAGGUAACCGUAGGGGAACCUGCGGUUGGAUCACCUCCUUACCUUAAAGAA